rnacentral:misc_RNA from 1 species
GACUUGAUUGGGAGCAACCGGAGGCCGAGACCCCCCCAUGUCCGCUUAACUUUCCAAAUCCGAGAGCGCGAGCAGUCGUCCUGUGGACCGAGACAGCCACGACAACAGUCAGAGGACAUGUCCGGGACACGGGGACUGCUUUCGAGGUCCACUUUGCAGCCGCGAAGCCACAAGGGGGAAAGGGGCGGGGCUAUCUCACGAAACUUUCCACACGACGGGAAGGGAACACAGGAACCAAGGGUCGUGCCCGAGAAGAGCGAGCUCAAUCUUGGGGCGAAAAUGAAACAGA